UACGUAGGAGGCGAGCGUUGUCCGGAAUUACUGGGCGUAAAGAGCGCGUAGGCGGCACUGUACGACCGCUGUGAAAGCCCCCGGCUCAACUGGGGAGGGUCAGUGGUAACGGCAGAGCUGUGAGUGCAGGAGAGGGAAGUGGAACUCCGGGAGUAGCGGUGGAAUGCGCAGAUAUCAGGAAGAACACCAACGGCGAAGGCAGCUCGCUGGGACGGUACUGACGCUGAGACGCGAAAGCGUGGGGAGCGAACAGG
rnacentral:rRNA from 1 species